UCUCUACCUCCAAAGUCCCUUCACGGUCCAA
rnacentral:sRNA from 1 species